UACAGAGGUGGCAAGCGUUGUUCGGAAUUACUGGGCGUAAAGGGCGCGUAGGCGGUCUUGCAAGUCCCGUGUGAAAUCCCUCGGCUCAACUGAGGAACUGCACGGGAAACUGCUUGGCUUGAGUUCGGGAGAGGGAAGCGGAAUUCCGGGUGUAGCGGUGAAAUGCGUAGAUAUCCGGAGGAACACCGGUGGCGAAGGCGGC
rnacentral:rRNA from 1 species